rfam:Schistosoma mansoni strain Puerto Rico chromosome 3, complete genome
AUCCAGCUGAUGAGUCCCAAACAGGAGAAAACGCCCGUCCUGGAU